UACACCAUAUAAGAUUCGAACUUAUAACCUUUCCCUUCGUAGGGGAGUGCUCUAUUCCAGUUGAGCUAAUGGUGC
rnacentral:tRNA from 1 species